CUUCACAGGUUAACCCGUGGCCUGAGUGAGGAAGGCAAUGUCCUUGCUAGUCACUAUUUGUGGCGACAUCUCCAAAUUGCGUGAAACCCGUCAUACAGCUUCAAGUACCACUUCAAUUGAGAAAUCUUUUGAAGGAACAGAGGUAACUCCUCUUCCCAAAGGUAAAAAGCUUGAAGACACGGUGGCAAUGCGCAGCCAAGCUCCUAAGUAUUUUAAAUAUAAGGAGAAGGUUCAGAGAGCAGACGGAGAUGGGCGGUAAUUAUCGCCGCUUAAGGUGUGCUCCAGCCUCAUUUCGAAAGAUUGAG
rnacentral:ncRNA from 1 species